CCUACGGGUGACAGCAGUCGAGAAUCAUUCACAAUGGGGGAAACCCUGAUGGUGCGACGCCGCGUGGGGGAAUGAAGUUCUUCGGAUUGUAAACCCCUGUCAUGUGGGAGCAAAUUAAAACGAUCGUACCACAAGAGGAAGAGACGGCUAACUCUGUGCCAGCAGCCGCGGUAAUACAGAGGGCUCAAGCGUUGUUCGGAAUCACUGGGCGUAAAGCGUGCGUAGGCUGUUUCGUAAGUCGUGUGUGAAAGGCGCGGGCUCAACCCGCGGACGGCACAUGAUACUGCGAGACUAGAGUAAGGGAGGGGGAAGCGGAAUUCGCGGUGUAGCAGUGAAAUGCGUAGAUAUCGAGAGGAACACUGGUGGCGAAGGCGGGUUACUGGACAUUAACUGACGCUGAGGCACGAAGGCCAGGGGAGCGAAAGGGAUUAGAUACCCCUGUAGUC
rnacentral:rRNA from 1 species